CCAACCCAAUGCAGAGACGGGACUGGCUGACUGGCUGUAGCUGCUGCCUUUAAGCAAUCAUUCGACAUGCAGCUUGUCUGUUUGCUAACAUUCCUCAUUCAAAUACUUUUUAACUGCCAGACGGGGAUGACCAUGCGCCUCCCAGGCACGAACAUGGACUCUUGUGGCGCAGCCCGGUGAUAGACCGAGACAGACUAGGGGGUGGCAGACAGGAAGACAGCCCAGAUAUGAUUCACUGAGCUGGGGGAAAGGCAGCUCCCUGUCAUCCUUCUCUGGUUCUCACCGGGAGUCUGAAUCUAACUAACUAACUGGCUGACUGACUGUGGCUGCCCUCUGUCUGUCCCUCUCUACAGGAUAACUGCAUUAUGGUUCUGGAUCUACUACCCUGGUGGAAAAUAAGGCCUGUCUGGAUUUCAACAUCCUGGAUUUCGCAUCCAUAGUUGUUGUGUGCUGCUGACUGUCUACCCAUGUCCGAUUUGAGGUGGACUCCAAUCAAGUUGGAAAAACAUCUCAAGGAUGACCAAUGGAAACAAGUCUCAUAGCAAAAUGUCUGAAUACUUACGUAAACAAGGUAUUUCCCUUUUUUAAAUUUUUAGUACAUUUGCAAAAAUGUUUGUCAUUAUAGGGUAUUGUGUGUAGAUUGAUGAGGAAAACAUAGAAUUGAAUACAUUUUAGAGUAGUAGUCUGUAACAUAACAAAAUAGGGAAGAAUUACUUUCUGAAGGCACUGCGUAUUGUAUCUAUUUAUUUAUUUUUAUUGUACCUUUAUUUAACUAGGCAAGUCAGUUACGAACAAAUUCUUAUUUACAAUGACGGCCAACAAAAAGGCAAAAGACCUCCUGCGGGGACUGGGGCUGGGAUUAAUUAUUAUUUAAAAAAAAUGUAAAUAAUAUAUAAAUAUAGGACAAAACACACAUCACGACAAGAGAGACAACACAACACUACAUAAGAACAGGCCUAAGACAACAACAUAGCAAGGCAGCAACACAUGGCAACUCAGCAUGGUAGCAACACAACAUGGUAGCAGCACAAGACCUGGUACAAACAUUAUUGGGCUCCAAAGAAAUUGAAAUUACAUGAUUUUAUACUAAUACAAUUGCUCAAAUAAAUAACAAGUGUUUAACAAGUGUAGAAUUCGGGGUAAACGGGGUGUUGGAUAUGGGGUCAUUUCAAUUCAGUUAAACUGAGUUAUACAAAAGGAUGGAAAUGUUUUGAAAAGGUAUUUAAAUGGUUUCUGAAGGACAGGGAAAGAAAAUGGAGAGGAAACAUUUUAAUGGGGACGUAUGCCCUGUAUACUGCCUGAUCAAUCUCACUAGAAAUGAUCGGAACAGGGGGUUUAAUUAUAAAAUGAAUGAGAAACACCAGUCUCUAGUCAAAUUGUGCCAUUACUUUAAGAGCUUAUUAUUAUUUGCGUAGGGAGUUAUAAAGAGUUGUAAUUCUAAGUUGAUUAGUUAUUGGAAUGAGUUUCUUUUUGAUUUAACAUGUUGUUUUUGAAUCACGUGUUCGACGGGGUAAAUGACCCGUUCCCUGAGUUCCUGGUCUUUGGGUAAAUAUACAGAAGUACUGUGUUUAGUCUGCAUAUAGAAGGGAAAAUAUAUGUUAAUAAGGGAUAACAGUUAUUUCAAAUGGAUUGUGAUGUGUAUUGCUGAUUUGAUUUGAUGUUUUAGUUUCGAUACAAAAUUCACCAGAUUGGGAUACUGGAGUGUGAGAUUCUGCGAGGGGUUAGGGUGCUAAACUUCAUGAUCUGGUAACUCUUCCAAGAGGUUGCCAGUUGAAUAAGGGAGUAUGGAUCCAUUUUGAAAAUGGUUUCAACAGUAACAGUAUGUUGUUAUGCUCUUUGACAUUUGUCGUAGAGAUAAUGUUAUUAAGAAAAGGUUAAUAUAAUAAUUCAUCAUAUAAUCAAUACUUGUCUGGAUUUCCUGAAACAGAAAUGAAUUGAGCUAAACUGUUGUUGUGAUCUGUGCUUUUUUGAGGUUAUCAUGGAAGGUCGUGUCUUAAUGCAUGGUAGGAAUGAUUUGACCACAGACAGUAUGUGUGAAUCUCAAAACCCUCCCUAAGUGUAUGUUCUAACAGGGAUGAUGUGUGCUAAAUUGAGGAACUGGAAUUCGAGUCCUGGACUCAACAUAAGCACUAAGGACUGUCAUUCUAAAUUUGGGUUUGGAUCAUUUAUAAAAUGUUUUAGUUAUGAUUUGGAUAUAGCGAGAGAGAGUUGCUACAGAAUGGUGAGGGCUGGGGGUGCUGCUAACAUUUAUUUGGCCGAGAGAGUCUCCAGAAACCUUAUCUCUAAGUGUCAUCCUAAAGGGAGGUGGUUUGUUAGGGUAAUCACUGGAUGAUAGCAUGGGACAAUCGUUCAAGUUUUUUGUUCUCUUUUGUUUUACCAUGUACUCAGAAAGUGUAUGUUAAAGUUAUUAAACAUGUACUUUUUCUCUUUCCUUUUCAAGUCAAUAUGUUUUUAGGUUUUGUGGAACAUAAGCAUGCUCAUUGUUCCAGAGGUGGGACUGAUGUAUAUUGACUAAUUGAUUUGAGAAUGUUUUAGUAUGUUUUGUAACUGUGGAAAAGCAUUAGGAGUAGUGACUAGUGUGUUAUGGGUUAGGUGUAAUGAUAGAGGAGUAUCAUUCCCAGAGACUGUGUAUUGUUACAGGAGAUAGCUCUUAGGAGAGAGAGGACAGCUCAAAGCUAACUGUACACAAUAUGGGGAUUUAACUAAACAUUACACAUACCCAAAUCAUGGUGAGAGUAGAAGAGAUAGUGAUGGCAUUUCAGACACUAUGGUAAACUUUCAGGAAACCUGUGACUCAGAGUUUUGUUAGGUUGGAUGUUUUUCCCAAAUCAUUCAUCUUUUUCCAAAUUUCUAACAGCCAAUUUCUAACAUUUGACAGAUUACAUGUAGGAGUUAUUCUCACGGCAAUUGCGGUAGGGACAGUAACUGAAGGAGCAGUAUUACUAGCGUAGUAUGCUAUAUUGGAAUUGGAUUACUGAGCAAGUAUGCUAUAUGGAAUUGGAUUACUGAGCAAAUGUGGGCUAUUGUGAGACUAUGGUCAUGGGCCAUGUUAGUAGUAGCAGGGGUUACUUUAGUAGCAUUGCUGAGAAGGGUCAGGCAAGCGGGUACAGAGUCCAGAAACAGACAAGGGUCAAAACCGGGAGGACUAGAAAAAGGAGAAUAGCAAAAAGUAGGAGAAUGGGAAAAACGCUGGUUGACUUGGAAAACAUACAAGACGAACUGGCACAGAGGGACAGGAUGGGCGGACAGGUGUGGGCAGCUUGGUUGAAGAGCAUGCAUUUAGUUUUACUUGCAUUUAAGAGCAUUUGGAGGCCAGGGAAUGAGAGUUGUAUGGCAUUGAAGCUGGAGGUUAGUUAACACAGUGUCCAAAGAAGGGCCAGAAGUAUACAGAAUGGUGUUGUCUGCGUAGAGGUGGACCAGAGAAUCACCAGCAGCAAGAGCGACAUCAUUGAUGUCAUUCCAUAUAAAGGAGUGAAAAGUUAAUGGUUCUCUGUAGAAAGACAGAGUGGCAGUGGAAUGUGCUGGGUGGAUGGGAGGGAGUCAUGGGAGUGCCAUAGGUGAUAUGAGAGGACAUCUCUGGAUUAGGUGAUGGAGGAGUUGAGGUCAGAAGGUCAGGAGGUCAGGUCAGAUCACCUGAAGGAAGAAAUAAUGGUUUAUGUCUGUUACCCUCUUCCUGUCAAACCAUAAGAUGUAAGGAUGUAAGGAUUGGAGAGAAGGAGGGGUGCCUAAAGUGGAGUAUAUAUACUCUAUGUCUUUGUCUGAAUUACAGCUGUAACGACCCUUUGGGAAGAAUAAAACUUGGUUAAGUUUCUCUAGUGUCCGUGAGUUAUUUACUCUGAAAAAUUAGAACCUAACACAAGUAAUAUCAAAUAAUUUCCAACAUUUUUGGAGCAUACAAUGUAUUUGUUUUAUUUAUUUAUUAAACUUUUUUGCUAC
ensembl:lncRNA